rnacentral:lncRNA from 1 species
GUUUUUCAGUAUUCUCACAAAUGGAACACAAAUUUUGGAGAGAAUCCCAAAUGGCAGGUGCUGACACUAAGUAGAGACAGGAACAGCCUUCUUGUUAACAUAUUAUCUACUCCUCACCUACCUCUGCUCUGUUACAAAGCUCAUUGACAAUGAAAGCUAAAUGAACUAACUGAAAAGUAAUUCAGUACUGUUACAAGUAUUUCAGAUAGCUUUCUGCAGCUUGGGAGCAAACAAGCAGAGAAAUCUUCUCUAUGCCUAGCCCUGUUGGAUAAUAUUCAAGCUGCUAUAUUUUCUUUUCAGAGCAAAUUUAAGCAUUCUUUGCAAAAGGUGGUGUCCUGGAGUGCUGAACUGGGGAAACAGAAAGACAGAUGGAGGAAAUCAAAUGAAUCAGUAAAAAGGACCUGAAUGUCAAAUAGGCUGUGUCCUGCACUUUGGAAUAUUGCCUCCCUGCAGAGCACUGUGGAGGAAGGCACAUGGAGCUCCAUGUAGAAGCACGUUCGGGACACAGCAGCAGAAAUUUGAAAUAAAUGGACCACUAGAGGGCAUCUGCUCGUUCUCACAGCUGGAAUGGAAUCUUGUUCACCCCUGCAGAAUGUCAGCCCAGUAUUUACAGUUAAAGGUCAGGACUCCACUAUACCAGCAGACUGGCAGAUUCCCAACAGAAAGAACUCCCCACCUGGAGAACCUGCGAUCUGAAAGUCAGACAAGAAUCUCUGAACUGAGACACAGGUCUGUACAACAGCCAGAAACAAUGGGGUGCUUCUGCUUGGUGCUCCCUCAACAGACCUAAUGAAGAAGUAUAGAUUGGGAAUCUUAUUGUUGCUUUUUGAUGUAGUUUUGUGGAAAUGCAUCUCAGCAAAGCCCGGAGUUAAGAAUGAUAAGGGUGAGUGAAGGGAAUUAAUUAACCUGGUCGCACUUGUGUGGGAUGCAAGGGUGGAAUCUCAGUGAUGAAAA